GGUAGAGGCAAUGCACCUGAGUAACUGGAAGGGGUGGAUCCUGGCUCCACCCCUUCCCAGACCUCAUUUAAGGGUUGGCAGUGGAGGUGAGGGUAUUUCUGGUUGGAGAUCCUUGACUACCUGAGGCUUUCUAAAGGUACAACACGGUUCAUAAAGCUUUUUGCUCUCUGAACUCUGAGAGGAGAUACUUGGCCCAGAGGAAUUCCUCGCUUUAAAGGCAGAAAGUUAAAUCUGGAGGUUCCUGUACCAGGUGGUGGCUGUCAGAGUUGCUGCUCACAGGCUUGGCCAUCAUUCCUUCUCAUCAGAGGAACGCAGAGCCUUCGCACCUUACUCUCAAGUCUGUUGUUUCCAAUCUCCAAUGCAGUACCUCAAAGAAGGAAGCAAUUAGCACAGCCAGGACUCAUCCAGGCUCGUGCACACUCUACCAUGGUAGAAACUAUCUCUGCAUUCUCCAAGAGCUGUAAUGACCAACUUAAAUGAAGGCAGUGUGUUUGAAAAAGGAAAACUGAGAAACUAGACUGACAGAGAAAACACCACAGUCUCCUUUAGCACCUGUUAGUCUGUUUUGUUUGUACCACGGGACAGCGAUGACAGACCUUUUGGUUGUUUGUUGCCAAAUGAAUUUAAAAGACUUUGCAACCUCAUGUUGGCUUAAAUCUCUCCAGUGCCAAAUUUGGAAUCAUCAUGCCACAAUGGUGUUGCUGCAGAACUGAUGCUUCUACUCCAUUCGCUGCAGCAAGACAUUCGGAGAUGAGGCCCUGAGGUCAGCUUUAACCUAAAUCUGGUCGCUCCUCAAGGAGAGCUCUGAAGAAAAUUAAGAUUGUUAAGGGAGCAACUUUAUUAGGAAGAAAACAUUGCUUUAAUUGCUCAGACAAGCAACAAGGUGGAUUCCGUGCAUUGUUUUGGGUUUUUUUGUAAGGACACUCUCUGCUUUGCGAACUUCUUGGACAUACUACUUGUUUCUUUAAACCCAAAUAAAUUCCUUUUAAGAAGAGUUCUAAUUUCACCAUAUUACUGCUUAAUUUUUUUUUUAACUUAGAAAAUGAAAAACUUCUUUGUUAAAUAGGUGUUAGAUGUCCGGACUUUAAAGUAAUAUUCAUUUUUACUGAAGGCUUGCAUGUUGCAUUGUUUAGAUGGAAAAUCUAAUGAUAGAAAAUAGGCUGUUUCUAGCAAUGUCUAGCUAAAAUGUCUAGCUAAAAAUGUCUAGCAAAAUCUAGAAACCUGCAACCAAAUAUGUCUGGACUAUUGCUACCCUCAGGACACUGGAACUUCAUGCUAAAAUACUUUCAUUUAUAAUCUCAUUUUAACACCUGGCUCUAUUCCAUUGUUUUGAGUGAUACAAAAUCAGUAGGUACACAUUUUCCAUAACUCUAAGGUUCCUGGAGUUUAGGCUAACCCUGUCAGUAGAAGUUGAAAGGACGUAACAUUUUGCUCUAAGAACUGGCAGCCUGUUUGCUGUUGUUGCUUGUGUUCAGAUAUCAUACAAAGGGUACCACUAGAGUAGCUCUGAUUUUCUUAGUAGCCAAUGUUUUCACUUGCUGCAUUUUGCUCUCCUCCAGGUUUUUAAUGCCUUUGCUUUUUCUUUGAUGAUUUUUUUUUUGUAGUCAAAGAAGAUCUUUAGUACUUUAAAACUAUAGUG
ensembl:lncRNA